UUCAUCAGGCGAAUGCCCAACACGACAAAGGAUAAGAUAAAAAAGAAACUCUGCAUUCAGAGGAGGAAUUACAGUCUGAAAAAGAAGGCAAUCAACGGCGAGGACAAAUACGGAUUGUAAUUACUCUCACUGCCAGAAGGGGGCGACACUGCGGAUUCCAACAAGACAUCGGACAUGAGCAAGUGAGUGAAAGAACAGAGGAGGAGCCCCAAUCUCCUGUCUUCCCACCUCAUUACCCGCACCUGGAUAGGACUGCAGGGGAUACUAAUUUAAGUCACUCGUUAGCAACGUCCUAAUGCGUUCUGACAGCAACAAGAGCCGGCGAUGGAGGGAAGGUGAAGGAGAAAGAUCGAAGGAGAGAGAGGGUGAGGGAGGGUGAGGGAGGCGCAGAAUUGUCUUGACAGAGACAACCACAGGACACAGCAACCAGAAGGAGGGAAAGCGUCUGUGCAUUACCAGAACUUUCCUUAUUUCUUGCUUUGAUUUCCAUAAAACAAGCAUCAUCCUAAAUCAUCUGCGCCCUCUCCGCUGGUGGCCUUGUAUGCAUAAACCAUUAGAUUCCAUUGCUAAUGCACACAAACUAAUGAACACAGUAUCGUUUUUUCCACUACUGUACACCGCAGCACGACUGGAAAUCAAAUAAAACCCUGUUUACCAAAUAAAUUCU